GAUGAAGAACGCAGUGAAAUGCGAUAAUUAAUGUGAAUUGCAGAAUUCAGUGAAUCAUCGAGUCUUUGAACGCACAUUGCGCCCCCUGGUAUUCCGGGGGGCAUGCCUGUCCGAGCGUCAUUGCUGCCCUCAAGCACGGCUUGUGUGUUGGGCUUCCGUCCCUGGCAACGGGGACGGGCCCAAAAGGCAGUGUCGGCACCAUGUCUGGUCCUCGAGCGUAUGGGGCUUUGUCACCCGCUCCCGUAGGUCCAGCUGGCAGCUAGCCUCGCAACCAAUCUUUUUAACCAGGUUGACCUCGGAUCAGGUAGGGAUACCCGCUGAACUUAAGCAUAUCAAUAAGCGGAGGA
rnacentral:misc_RNA from 1 species